AGCUCCCUCGAAUCCAUAAGAACCCCCGUCCUGAUGUGGCAACGAUGAGAACCUAAGUGGUAAGGUACUAGAUAACGGCAGACCGAGGCUAGUUCGCAACACAGCGAAAAUCGUCGUA
ncrna:unclassified sequences EGFOA RNA